UCCCUGUGUCCACAGGCCCUUGUCCUACCAGGUGCGGCCUCUUUCUCCUGCCUUCACCUCCCUCUCUCUCUCUGCCUCUGAGGGUUUGAGCACUUAACAUCGCUUCCAUAUUUUCAAAACCUCUCCCUGUCUUUCCCGGCUGACUCCCAGCUUUUAGGACCCAGGACUGUCUUGCACACAGCACCUGCUGCAUGACCGGAUCUCAACCAGUGUUUUUUUUUUUUUUAAAAAAAAGAAUGACUAGAUGGAGGAAUCCUAACACGACAGUAUUUGUUCCACCUGUUUUAAUUGUUAUCAUUCUGUUCGAUAUUAGUUAAAACAACUCAUUUUCUCAGUUGAAUCUGGUCCUGUUUCUGUUCCAAGCUCAUGAUGGAUAAAACUCAGCGUGAAAACUCCAUAGUAUGUCACGAAAACUACAACUACGAAGCAGGGCCUGGUUCUGCAUCUGGAUUCACACUAAUGAGUAGACCACAAACGUCCUUGAUAAAGUGCCAUUUGAUCAUGACCACUCUCAGCUUCGCGACUGGAGGGCUGGGUCUUCCCCAGUCCCUGGGAGGAGAACAGUGAGACCAUGUGUCCUUUGGGGGCCCUCAUGGUGGGUAGGUCUUCCCCUGCCACUAAUAGUCUUUUCUGGAAGACGUGCUGCUCUCAGGGAUUUUAAGGUGUGUGUGUGGGCGGGGGAGGGCACGUUAGGAUUGGCUGGGCUCCCAAUCUUCCUAGAACAGGUGCAGAUUAAACCCUGGGCUUGAGGGGCACCAGUCUUGGUUUUCACUUGGCAGUCAGAACCUCCCAGAGCCCGUGGGAACUCUGCGGCCCAGGGUUAAAGCGGAGCUUGGCCAGCGAGUGGAGGGGAGGUGGGGAGCCUUGGUGGUGUCAGGAUUCAAGCCGGUUUUCCGGGGUCACUGCCAGUGUCCCGGACUUCGGAGGUCCAUCGGGGGUGGGAAGCAGGGGAGCUUGAGCCAGGUGGCUGGUUUCCUCCGGGUGCGCGAACUUGCCUCUGAAGUUGCAGCUGCUGGGAGGGGCGGGUGCUCCUGGGCGGCUUCCCUGGGGCAGCGCGAGGAGGGAGGCCCUG
rnacentral:lncRNA from 1 species